CCCUGCCCUGCCUCCUUCCAGGGACAGCAGCGCGGCUGUGAAGCCCCCGCCGGUGGCGCUCGGAGCUUUCUGCCUUGCUCAGGGCUGCGGGGGAGGAGGAGGAGGUGAGAUGGCAAACGUGCUCGCAGCUAUUUCUGCUGCAGCUUCCUGUCCUUGACCCAGCGAUACAUUGUGAAGUUCUCCUGAGUCAAUGAAUCCUGGUAAAAUGCAGUAAAGGAUUUAAGGUUAUCGUCUGUCUCUCUCUAACUUCUGACAUCUCUUUAUAACAAGAAAGAGUCACAGCCAACUGUAACAGGAGGGCAACACAAUGAAUCCUGAGAAACAUACUGUCCAUAAAUGAGAAGGUUUUUACAACACUCUGAUGACUGGAAAGAUAUGCAAGUAUAACUGAUAUUGCCUGAUGACAUUUGCUUACUUUGACUGCUUGCACAAGAUACACAGUCAUGUGCAUCAGCACAGCAGAAAGGAACAGCAAACAUCCUGCAGAGCUGGAAAAUGCCUUCAUUAACUUUUCAGUAUCCACAACUUUCUUAUGGAGAAGUGCACAUCCCAUGGCCAGGUGUAACUGCAGUCAGCUGUGGCCACCCCAAGCUGGAAAUGAGUGUCUGAGCAUCCUGCUCACUAACCCUUCCACUGCAGUGCCUGUGUUCUGGCUGGUCUCUUGGUCUAAAUAAGCUGCAGAUCUCAGACCUGGAAGAAUUCAGUGCCUUUGUAGCACUUUCUCUCCAGCUUGCACUGUAGGUGUUUCAUGAGAACGUGGAGCUGCAUGUCACAGUACCUUUUUUCCAUGGGUUAAAGGAAACUGUUCUAACACUCCCAGCUUGUGCUGGCCAGUCAUUCUCUCUUUGUAAUUAGCAUGAAGACUACCCUUCAGUCAAAACUAGCCACCUGGAAAGUUUCAGCUUGUAAUAUGCAGCUUUUUUUGUGAAUUAUGAAUGUGCAAAAAAGAGACCUUUCUCCUUACACCCACUUCCUUGCAUAAUUCAAAAUAUGAAUGAAUGAAUUUUAUUCAGGCUUGCCAAAAAAAUUAUAUUUCAGCUGAUAACAAGCAUGAAAAAUUUUAGAUGAAAGGGAUUAAAAAAAAAAAAAGAAUAUUCUGAGCAUGGGAGAACAGCAGGUUAAGACAGAAGUCUAUAACUAUAACAAUUGCUAUCAAGCAAAUACCAUAUCCAAGCACUAAAUCUUGCUUUGUGCUGCCCUAGUGCACAGUAGCAGGGACGGAGUAGAAUAAUAAAAGCUGAUCCCCUUAUGCAAACAGCAGGCACAGCACUUGAGAGAAUACAAGGAGAAGGUGAGCCUGCCUCCUGUUCUGGCUUGCUAACCAUAUUCCCAAGGUCUGUGGGUUAGUUGUCUAGCUCCAGUCAGAUAGCAAAAGGUACUUCAAACACUAGCAAAGGGAAUGUUUUGGUCCUUUCCAGAAGAACAUUUUACUAAUUCCUUGCCUCCAAAUGUACUGUUCUGUUAAAUAAAGUAUUUGAAGGAAUUCAUAUAAGCAACAUCAUGGUUUAAUGGGUCAAAAAGGGAACAGAAUCAGUGCCAGGCAUUUUUGGGAUUGUGUAUUUUAAGAAUAUAUAUCUGUGAAGAAGGUAUUAUCUGUGCAAAGCAGAAUGAGAUUUGGGCUCAUGCCAGUACCACUUUGAAAAUAAACUAUCACAGUGAAGAAAUGUUACCAUCUGGAACAUUUCUGCAUCAUAUUUUCUCUUGUUCCCAAUAAUGCCUUGGUGAUAAGUCCAGCUCUCCUUUUCUACUCAGAAAACAGGAUGAAAACUCCCAUUCAUUUACUAUGUGUUUGUUAGAAAAAAUGCCCAUUACAGUGGCUAAACAGCAGUGAAUACUAAAGUAUUACUUUGCAGAUUCACAGAUCCACAUUGAUUAGAGGAUCAACAGACAGGAUUUGCAAGUAGCAAGCCUGGGCGUAGAAAUCCCCUUCCAGUCUGAUGUGAGUUGACUGUUGCAAGUUGAGCUUGGCAGAAAGUGACCAAAAUUGAGUUGUCAGCCUCCUCCUGCAUAGUGGAAGAAGUUGUUGCUUUCUUGUGCAGACGCAAGAGUUUCUGUGGGAAAACAGAACAUAAUCAUGGUUCUGAAUGUCUCUGUGGAUUGGUAAUGUCUCUAAUACAUAGAUCACUUGUGCAAAUUCAGUCCCAGCUGGAUGGGAAAUUAUUGAAAAUGGUUGUUGUUUGAUUGAUAUAAAAUGAGUUGUCAGCUUGAUUCAAUGCCUUCAGGGCAGAUGUCCACAGCAUAAUUGGCACCUGUCAGAAGCAAAGAAUUCCUUGGUACAGAGUAACAGCUACUCAUGCAACCACCCAGAACAGUCCUUGCAUGCCAGGGCUCAGAGAAGAAGGCAGAAAAAAAAUACUUCUGGGCAGGAUCUUUUAUGCCAUAAAGUCAAUGAGAGAUUUGAUGUGACACUUGGUGCAAGCUUUUCCCUGGGAUACUGGCUACUCAUGAUCAGCUUUUCUGCUGUUUGGUCAACACUUUCCCUAAGAAUUAGAAGAAAACUCACAUAUUUGGUUACUUGUUAUUAUUGUCAUGGUGAAGGUGGGUUUAUAAAGACCACUUAAUAAAGAAAUGUUUACAUGUUUGCUUAUAAUAAAAAAAUGCUGUGAAUAA